GAGUUUGAUCAUGGCUCAGAUUGAACGCUGGCGGCAGGCCUAACACAUGCAAGUCGAGCGGUAGAGAGAAGCUUGCUUCUCUUGAGAGCGGCGGACGGGUGAGUAAUGCCUAGGAAUCUGCCUGGUAGUGGGGGAUAACGCUCGGAGACGGACGCUAAUACCGCAUACGUCCUACGGGAGAAAGCAGGGGACCUUCGGGCCUUGCGCUAUCAGAUGAGCCUAGGUCGGAUUAGCUAGUUGGUGAGGUAAUGGCUCACCAAGGCGACGAUCCGUAACUGGUCUGAGAGGAUGAUCAGUCACACUGGAACUGAGACACGGUCCAGACUCCUACGGGAGGCAGCAGUGGGGAAUAUUGGACAAUGGGCGAAAGCCUGAUCCAGCCAUGCCGCGUGUGUGAAGAAGGUCUUCGGAUUGUAAAGCACUUUAAGUUGGGAGGAAGGGCAGUAAAUUAAUACUUUGCUGUUUUGACGUUACCGACAGAAUAAGCACCGGCUAACUCUGUGCCA
rnacentral:rRNA from 1 species